rfam:Pyrococcus furiosus DSM 3638, complete genome.
GGCGAUGAUGAAUAGCAAGCCACCUGAAGAGUGAUGAGGUGAACACCCCCUGAGC